rnacentral:misc_RNA from 1 species
UGGUUCCAGCAUCGAUGAAGAACGCAGCGAAAUGCGAUAAGUAAUGUGAAUUGCAGAAUUCAGUGAAUCAUCGAAUCUUUGAACGCACAUUGCGCUCCCUGGUAUUCCGGGGAGCAUGCCUGUUCGAGCGUCAUUAUCAACCAUCAAGCACUGCUUGGCAUUGGGGACCGUCCGAGCGGACGACCCCUAAAGACCUCGGCGUCGGUGUUCAACCUCAAGCGUAGUAGAAUCUCUAGCUUUCAGGUUAAGCGCCGUCUCGCCUCGCUUCCAACUCACGGUUGACCUCGGAUCAGGUAGGGAUACCCGCUGA